rnacentral:piRNA from 1 species
UCUGGUCGGGCUAAGGGGAAAGCU